rnacentral:rRNA from 1 species
CCUACGGGCGGCAGCAGUGGGGGAUAUUGCACAAUGGGGGGAACCCUGAUGCAGCGACGCCGCGUGUGGGCAGACGGUCCUCUGGCUUGUAAACCACUGUCCCCAGGGACGAAAAUGACGGUACCUGGGGAGGAAGCUCCGGCUAACUACGUGCCAGCAGCCGCGGUAAUACGUAGGGAGCGAGCGUUGUCCGGAAUUACUGGGUGUAAAGGGAGCGUAGGCGGGGAUGCAAGUUGGGUGUCAAAACUACCGGCUCAACUGGUAGUCGCACUCAAAACUGCAGCGCUUGAGUGAAGUAGAGGCAGGCGGAAUUCCUAGUGUAGCGGUGAAAUGCGUAGAUAUUAGGAGGAACACCAGUGGCGAAGGCGGCCUGCUGGGCUUGUACUGACGCUGAGGCUCGAAAGUGUGGGGAGCAAACAGGAUUAGAUACCCCUGUAGUC